AUCUAAAUAGCUUAUAUUUUAGAGCGUAAUAUUGAAGAUAUUAAAGAAAUUAAUAAAAUUUUUAGAUA
rnacentral:tRNA from 1 species